GACCUCUCUGGUGGCUUAGUGGUUAGAGCAUCUGCUCCUGAUGUGGGAGGUGGUGGGUUUAAACCCCAGCUGAGUCA